CUUCCUUCCUUCUUCUGAUAAACUCAUGCAGUUUGCUUAAUUUCUGGCUCCUUUGGAUUGGGGUAGACAGUGUGGUACCCUCCAGAUGUUUUUUGGCCUGCUAUUUGCAUAAACCCAUCCAGCAAGGUUGGUGGUCAGGGAUUAUUGGAGUCAAAGUUCAAAACAUCUGGAAAGUUCCAGUUUGCUUACCCCUGCUUUAGGCCUUUCUCCCAGCAUUGCUACAGGUUCAGCAACUACUUAACUUUUUCCAGUUUGGAAGCUUGCAGAAACCUUUCUAACUGUUUUGGUUAUUUUUUUCUACAUAACUAGGAAGUCCCCAAGGUAUGCACAAACCACUCAGUUACUUUUGGGUGGCCCUGUUGUGCUUCUAAGCUGGUAGGCACUUCCAGAGGAGAUAAUGAUGAUACAGCACAUGAACUUGUCAAACCUAAUUUCAUGGGGGAUACUUAAGUACCAUGCUCAACAUGUGCAAUACAAGUUCCUUUCAUUUGUAUUAACAACCAGACCAAUCUACUAGCUUAGAUUAAAUUGGUAGGAGAAAAAUGUAUGAUAAUUUUCUCAUUGAAAAUGGAUGAUAGAAAACUACAAUUAUACAUCUGCAGCUGUGUCAUUCCAGUGCACUCUAAGUCAAAAGUAGCCCAGGAUGCUGAGAACUAAAAAGGUUAAAAUCUAUGUUUCAGCAAUUGACCGUUCACAAAGUGGGUCCUCUGACAUGGAUUAAACUGCAUGCUGACCUUUUGAUGUCAACCUGAUGAAGAACCUGUAGACCAGGUUUCUACAAAUUAGCAGACAUUCAAACGCAUUGGAAUCCACUACCCCUAUAUCAGUUUCUACAGCUGCCAAGGGAAUUACAUUCUGUUAAACACACCAAUUUGAAAACUCUUUGAGAUUACAAUAACCACAAGAUGACAAUGGAAUUCCAGGCCCAAGCUGCAGUUCCAGCAAGAUGAUCCUUCUUCAGCAUCUGUGUGCAAGAACAGCACUUAGUCUGAGCUGAAGACUCUUAAAGCACCUUGCGGUGGUUUUCCUUCUUUGUUGCUCUUACAAAAUACCACACGCAGCCUUCUUGCUUCUGUGCCAUGGACUCUCUUGGAGGGGUACUUAGGAAAUGGGAAUUGUACAGCUGUAAAGCACAUGUUACAAAUUAUUUUGUUUUGUAAAUGUCUGGUAAAAUACAUAUUUGAAUAUCUAAUCUUUCUGAUUUUUUUAAAAAAUAUUAUUAUUUUGGAGACAUGACUAAAAUAGCUGCAUGAACCAGUGGCCUGUAUUAGCCAGUUGGCAUUUAUAUAUUGUUAUUUUCUAUUUUAAUGUGAUUGGUUUUAUUAAUAUUGUUUGCCAGCUUGAGCAAUGCAAAGAAAAACGGGAUAAAAGAUUAAA